rnacentral:misc_RNA from 1 species
GUGAUGACUGUUUCCAUCUCUAGGUCUUUGAACAGCUUUUGAUCCAAUUACACCACUGGGCACAUAAUCAACAUAUGAUGGGAUGACACUAGGAAAUGGAAUUUUUGGAGGAAGUAAUGCGUGCUUUCCAGAGUACAUAAAAUUUUUGACAUUUGAUGACCCCUUGGAAUUUGCCAUAGCCAAAACAGAACCAGUCCCUUUUGUAGAUUGAAGAACUAAGAUCUUGAAAUGCAAUUAAAAACGAGAAGAAUCGAGAUGAAACUUUCUGCUCUCUCUCUCUCUUUAUUAGGGUUUCUGUUUUUUGUUUCCUCUCAACGAAGACCUCUCUCUGUCUGUGUUUCUUUCUUUCUCUCUCUCUCUUCUCAUCGAAGACCUGGGAUUGAAAAAGGAC